UGAAACCUUCGGGACAUGGGGUAC
rnacentral:piRNA from 1 species